CUUCUGUAUCUCAAUGGAUGGAAAAUACAGACUUUUAUCCAACCUCCAUUUCUUCUUAUUGCAUUGUCUAAAAUCAUUUCCUAUUAUCAAAAGGAAAAGGAGGUGCUGUAAAUCGAGAUAACAAGCAGCUUUUCUAGAGCUGACAAUGGAACAUUUACUGUAUUGCAUGUACACAUGCAGGCAUGAAUGCCUUCAACCAGGCACACUUUUGUUUAUGGAUUUCAUUCUACAUAUUAAUUAUUUUUCUUCAAUAUGACUGGUUAUGAUUACUUAGGAAAUGCUUUUCAUCAAAGGACUGAGUUACAGUCUAACAGAUUUUGAAAAUGAAGCCAUUUUUUUCUUUUACUUUUGUUCUUGUAAUUUAUUGAAGGAAUCUAAUAUGACUUCUCAAAAAAUGAUGGGCAAACCAGAAGGCUUUGAGCUUCCGGCUUCCAGGCAGUUGUAAGGUUGGCUGUCAGGGAUGGUGUCUAUUUAUUGCCCUCUGCUGGUACCAUCCCUAUAUUUGAUGUUUCAAACCUGACUUGUCUACCAUUUGUCUCAUCAUUUAGUUGCCGUUCCCUGACAGUGCAGAGGAUGUUUUUGAGGAAAGACAGAUUAGAAGAUUGGUACUGGCAGGAUGAAAUGUCGUGUGCUUAGUUGUGCAGAAAUGAUGUUCACAAAUGAAGUGCUGGGAAACUGAAUUUCUUAGGCUAUUUCUUUAAUGGGAUCUUCAAAUGUGAGAAAUAAUAUGAAAACCUUCUCCACAGAAACAGACCCUCGAGAAAGGGAAUCAUGCUUUGAGGAAACUGAAAAAAUUAUUGCUGAUUUCCUUUUAAUAGAAAGCUCAAGGCAGUAAAAAGGAAGACAAGGUUCGCUAUUCUUUAAGUAUUCAUUACUUCACUAAAUCAUAAAGGGAAUAUUUUAGAAAAGAAAAUAGAAUAACCUAGCAAAUAGACUGCAAAUUUAACAUUCCAUUUUGCAUUUUUACAGACAAUAUAUCUGUUCUUAAUACUUAAUAUAACAGGGGAUUAAGCACUUUUGAUGAUAAACUGUAUCCCUUUCUCUUAACUACUUGUCCUCGGUCACGGGAACAUCUGCCAAUAGAUGAGGUGAUACUCAAUUGUUGGAAAUGGCAAAAACAAGUUCAUUUGUGGGGCCUUUUUGUUCCUAAAAGAAGAAACAGCAGCUUAAAUAAUGAUGGCUUCUGGGAAGUCUCAGGCUGCAUGGUCUAGCUGGGUUCCCUCUGGUUUAUGAUGUAAUAAUUCAGCUGCACAGCUGAGCUCUUGCUCACUCUUUCCCAUAUGCUCCUUCCCCUUCUCGAUCCUUCAUCCUUUCCUUUUUCCUUACUCCUUUCCUCUUGCUUAGCUUGAGUCUUCAUCCUGUCCUUGCACUUUUCCACUUUGCAUAUCCAGAGUUCAAGACUAAAAGGUCCCACUCCUCCACCCUGGAACACACCAACCUUACAGACGUCACCAGCCUGCCAACACUCAGAAGUUAUGUGCAAAGAGCAGCAGGGUCACUGCACAACACCCACGGCAGUUGUAAAGCUGCACUAGUUCUAAAGAUCCCCUUUUGCUUUUCCAUGGAAGAGAGUUAUUGAGACCUCCUGCAUGAAGCUGGCACACUUCACACCACAGAGGAAUACAUCAGUCCUGACUAGCAAAGCAGAAGAUGGACCGUAUUGCAUAAAGAAGGAUGAAAUUGAGCUGGGCCAUGUUAAAUUAAUGGGUAAAGCUUUCUGAAAUACAAUUUUAUACAUGAAGCUCUGCUACUUUCACAAGUUGCCCAAAGCAAAACUCUUCAGUUGAAUUAUUCACUGAGGGCAGAGUGAAUUCUUUUCUCCCCUGAGAAGUGGACUUCUAACCCCCCACUGAUGUUGCAUAUUCUUCCAUCUCAGAGCUCUCCUCCAUGCUGGAUAAAACUGUAUUGCUGAACUGCAGCUGCCAUGUUCCCUGGCAGCUCUUUCCAGGACAUCUUGACAAUGGGAGACCAGCUGACUUUACAGCUGCUCUCCUCUCGGCUAAUUUGUUUGGAGACAUCAGAUUUUCACAACUUGUCCUCAGCUUUUCGUAGGCGUCUGCUAAGAUACAGCACUCUUCCUGCUUAUUAAUCUUUGAAGAUCAAACAAUUUUUAAAAAGAGACAGGUGCCAACCUCUCCCCAGAGCUCCAGCUGGUGCUGAAGGCAAUAAAGGUGAACACCCAGCAAUAGAGGUUGAGAAAGUUUUGAGGUAGAUAGCAUAUGCUGAAUGCAAGCUGGAACCUGAAUGAACAAUAUCCACUGCCACAUUUUCAGAAAGCCUCCAAGAGCUUGCUAUUCCAGCAGGAUUCUUGUGAGCACCAUGUCAGAACUAGUCGAGAAGUUUUUUUGUUUCUCAUGGCAGCUGAGUAUCACAUUCAGAGAGUCCCUGGUUCCUUGAGCACACCUUGCAUGGAAUUCUGCAGUGCACAAAACUUACCCAUGUGGGGCCAAGACUGAUGGCAGGACUCAUAGAAUGGUUUGGGUUGGAAGGGACCUUUAAGAUCAUCUAGUUCCAUCCCUCCUGCUAUAGGCAGGGACACCUCCCUCUAGACCAGGUUGCUCACAGCCCCAUCCAGUCUGGCCUUGAAUG